GUGCUACUGUUAUGUGUGUGAUGCUCCAGCUCCAUUCAAGCACUGGGGCAAAGGGCUCUGUCAAGCAGGUCUCCAUGAUAGUAUGUUGUGCUGGUGAUGUUUUUUCGUUGCUGGGAUCAUUUGAACUUGGAUGUCAUUUGUCAUGUGAUCUGAGCCAUAUGGCAUAUUGUAAAGUUUUUAUUGCUGUUUUUAUGUAUGAUGUCAUGAAGAUGUACGUUUGAAAUGCUGCUUUGACAGCAAAAUUGUAUUCCUAUGUACAUCCUGCUUUGACAGCAAAAUUAUGAAAAUUUCUUAACAAUA